CUCAGCUUCCCAAGCAUUGGCAUUAGAGGCAUAUAGCUUCAUUCCUAACUUCUAUCUGCAUCUAGAUGAUCAGAAAAAUAAAAGGAAAAAAGUUUCUGAUGUCCAUCCUCACAUGCAAGGAGUGGAUUAAGCAGUCAUCCUAUUCUAGAAUUAAAACCAGUACCUAUGUGUAUAGAGACUUUCAGCGGGCAAAGCCUUAGCAAGCUUCAAGCUGCACCAACAACCGCUGAUCGUUAAAAAUCUACGUUGACCCUCAUGAUGCCCCAGG